UGCCACCUUUGGGAAAUGGGCAUGUCAGACAGACAGCUUCUGGAACGGAACAAGAAAAGAUAAAAGAAAAAUCUUGAAGUACCUUCUGUGUGCUGAGGCCUCAAUUUCAGUCUUAAUUAUAUUGAAAGGCUUGUGAAUACACAACUUGUUUCAAACACUUGACUGGGUGGCAUUCAUGAUGUUGACACCCGAAGUAGCGUGUCUCCCACAAAGAAGGGGAGGAGAGAGAAGAAAGAGAAAAUUAUGAAUGAUGGAGUCUUCCGUCUUAUAACAGUACUUUUCUAAAGCCUGUAUGCUGACAAAGAAGAUGGCAAUUUCAUAAUUUUCUGAUUAAAGAAAUAAAGGAGGCAAACACCAAAUGGGUCAUUAAAACAGACAUGGAUAUUGGGUAGCAGAGAAAUUGUGGAAUUGGGUAGCAGAGAAAUGGAAGAAUAUCUGCUGUUGAGAAUCAAAACAAAAUGAAGACUUGGGUGGAGCUGAGAUGAAAAUGAAAGACUCAACUGAUCUUUCAUCUCAGGAAGAGUGAUUGUGUUGGACAUGCUGCUAUCUAUUUUACUGAAGGGAUGAAGCUGAAAUAGUGAUAAAACUGUGAUGUGCUGCUGGGAAGGCUUCUGGGAGUCCUCUGUUAACGUCUGCCUGCCACUGAAGUGAAAGCAAGGUACCAUUGUGUCAAGUGGAGUUCACCUGCCUCUGUGUACUGUCAAUCACACCCUCAUGAAAUGAAGGCUUUCUUUGCUUUGUUAAAAAUAUUUCUGGAGUUCAUUUCUCUUUGGUGUCAGAGUGGAUCAAAUAUCAUUAAAGUUAAGAAAUUAUUAAUAAAAAUACAUUUUCAUUGGGAGCAGUUGUGUCUAUUCUUCUCUGUCUUUUACACAUAUCUCUAUGUGCAGGCAUAAGUUCUUGCACCUGUAAGAACUAUAAGUUGUUUAAUUUAUAUAAUAUUUAUAUGUGCACAUUACAUAUAUUUAAAAUAAAAUAAAUAAUAAAUGUUAUAUACAUAUAUACACACAUGAAAAUAAAUAUUUGUAUUUAUUAAUAGAAGACAG